AAUCAUUAGUCUUUUAAUUUAGGACUGGAAUGAGUGGUUUAACUUAUUUUUUAUGUCUCAUUUUAAUAUUUUAAAUUUUAUAUUUUAGUAAAAAAGCUAAAAUUUUAUUUUUAGACGAGAAGACCCUAUCAAGCUUUAUAAUUAAAUUUUAUUAUCAAAAUAAAUAUAUACAUUAUUUCGCUGGGGCAGCUAGUAAAAAUUUUUUAUUUUAUCAUUGUGAUUUAUUAAUCUUGUCGUACCUAAAAAUUUUAAAGAAAUAAUAAGUUACUGUAGGGAUAACAGCAUAAUUUUUUUUAAGAGACCCUUAUCAUCAAAAAAGUUUGUGACCUCGAUGUUGGAUUAAGAAUCCUAAUUU
rnacentral:rRNA from 1 species